GACGAACGCUGGCGGCGUGCUUAACACAUGCAAGUCGAACGAUGAAGCCGGAGCUUGCUCCGGUGGAUUAGUGGCGAACGGGUGAGUAACACGUGAGCAAUCUGCCCUUGACUCUGGGAUAACUGCGGGAAACUGUAGCUAAUACCGGAUACGACACCUUGGGGCACCCCAGGGUGUGGCAAGAAUUUCGGUCAAGGAUGAGCUCGCGGCCUAUCAGCUAGUUGGUGAGGCAAUGGCUCACCAAGGCGACGACGGGUAGCCGGCCUGAGAGGGUGACCGGCCACACUGGAACUGAGACACGGUCCAGACUCCUACGGGAGGCAGCAGUGGGGAAUAUUGCACAAUGGGCGAAAGCCUGAUGCAGCAACGCCGCGUGAGGGAUGAAGGCCUUCGGGUUGUAAACCUCUUUUAGCAGGGAAGAAGCGAAAGUGACGGUACCUGCAGAAAAAGCACCGGCUAACUACGUGCCAGCCGCCGCCGUAA
rnacentral:rRNA from 1 species